UUAACAGCGCGUAGCGUUGCGCAGUUGGUGGUGAGCCGCCAGCAGUGGUCGAUGUGGGGAGUGAGAUGGCGGAGUUUUGAGAGCGAAUAAUCUGGACAGAGAUUGACUUUUGAACACUGUUAAGUUGAGAGUGCAUCACACCUCAGCACGAUGCGGAGAAUGGAAGUGCUUCCCACACGAAAACAAUAAAUAAAAACGAAAACCCAUUGAUGGUGGCACAUUGGUGAAGAAAUAUGUUUGGGUACUGAGAAUAAACGGUGUUUUGCAUAACUG